UUGGACCUGAUAUCAAACAAGAUUACCCGCUGAACUUAAGCAUAUCAAUAAGCGGGAGAAAAGAAACUAACAAGGAUUCCCCCAGUAACGGCGAGUGAAGCGGGAAGAGCUCAAGCUUAAAAUCUCCAUGUUUUACAUGGCGAAUUGUAGUCUAUUGAGGCUGUUGUCAGCAUAGCGAUUUGGGAUAAGUCCCUUGGAAAAGGGCAGCAUAGAGGGUGAUACUCCCGUCUUUGCUCAGAUUGUCUAUGUGUACGAUACGCUUUCUUUGAGUCGAGUUGUUUGGGAAUACAGCUCAAAGUAGGUGGUAAAUUCCAUCUAAAGCUAAAUAUUGGUGCGAGACCGAUAGCGAACAAGUACCGUGAGGGAAAGAUGAAAAGAACUUUGAAAAGAGAGUUAAAGAGUACCUGAAACUGUUGAAAGGGAACCGUAACAUGUCCAGUGUUGUAUCUUGUGCAUAUUUCAUUAGUGGAGCAAUUUACUGGUGCCCUGUGCAUGAGUGUGACGUCAAAGUCAGUUUGUAUGCUGCGGGAGAUGGUUAGCAAGGAGGUGCGUCACUUUUGUGUCAGUUAUACCUUGUUAUCUAGUAGCCGUGGUUGAGACUGAGGUGCCUACAACAUGCUUAUAGAGUAUAUUGUUGUCUCGUUAUUAUAUCUGUUUGGAUAGCUUGCUAUGCUGAUGGACUAUAGUGGCGAUUGAUGAUGGUAUUAACUUU
rnacentral:rRNA from 1 species